rnacentral:rRNA from 1 species
UACAGAGGUCUCAACCGUUGUUCGGAUUCAUUGGGCGUAAAGAGCGUGUAGGCGGCCCGGUAAGUCCGCCGUGAAAGUCCAGGGCUCAACCCUGGAAUGCCGGUGGAAACUGCCGGGCUGGAGUCCGGAAGAGGCGAGUGGAAUUCCUGGUGUAGCGGUGAAAUGCGCAGAUAUCAGGAGGAACACCGAUGGCGAAGGCAGGUCUCUGGGCCAUUACUGACACUGAGAAGCGAAAGCAUGGGGAGCGAACAGG